UUCGGUUUGUUACCUAAAAAAUUUUGUUGCGUAAUGUACUUGUAAACUUUUAAUGCUUAAAGGAGAGGCGAACAAAAACUAUUUUGUGAGAGCCACAAAAUAAAUUUUAAGCGGGAGAACAAAAAUUAUAGAUUUCUAAAUCCUAAAAUCUACUAGAACAUAGUCACAAGAAAAAGAAUAAUCUGGAUAAUCAGCAAUUCCGGGCCGUAACGAAAAGCUUAUGUUUUUUUAAAGUAAUUUUUUAUUUAUGCUGUAAUUUGCUAUGCCUGGUGCUUUCGAUUUUUGUUUGCUCUACUUCGAGAAGAACUACUGGCAUCUCAAUAUUUUGUAUUCCACAAGGAAAUGACGAGUACAACACAUCUUGGAGCAGCUUAUUGCUGUGAUUACGAAGGAUCGUGUUGUUGAUAAUAAGUUGAGGACACAGAUUGAAAAACGUAAUUUACAUGUAUGCGAAAAACACUUUCAACAGAGUCAGCUUAUACAACGUAAGUGCUAUUUCAUGUAUUUUUAGCUAUGUAAACAUUGGAAACACUAUUAAUAAAGCUCUCUCUUAAUCCUGUUGUUUAUUUAGAUGAAAAAAGAAGAACACUAAUUCCAGAAUCUAUUCCAACACUAAAUUCACCAAUAAAAAGUAUUCCCUCUUCCAGCACAUCAGUCAAUCCAAGACCUUCUGCUGAAAAGAUGGCUGUAAAAAAAACAGUACAAUAACUGUUGAUCAAAACCAACACAUAUUUUAUCAAUCAUUUGACAACUUCAUCGGCCGAGUAAAAUCACUAAAGCUUCCAGAGAGUUGGAGUGUCGAUAUAUCUCCAGACUCAAGGUUUGGAUGUGCGAUGAAAUUCAUUCCAGUGCAGAGUUCGAAAUAUAUGUUGACGAUAAUUUACUAUUCGAGGCUAUACAUGGAGUCUUCCUGAUGCUCACGAAAUAUACAGUACAUAUAAAUGAUCAGUCCGAAAUAUUACACUGUCAAAUUUAAUAGAAGUUUUAUCCACCUACAAAUUCUGUCCCGGAGUUAUUGAUUUGUCACUUGUACAUUCACACUACUUAGAGAAACAACACCUCGAAAAAAAAGUCUUUAUUCUGAUGAAAUACCCUUACAACAGUCAAAAUAUCAUCGAUCUAUGCAUUGUUCACUGUUACAAUUUAACGAUGAAAAAAUUUGCAUGCAAUGUGGCAGUGCUGCUAAAAAUCGCAAAAAUCUGUAAAACGUUCAUCAACAAGUUUGACUGUUCCAGCAAAUUUAAAUGCACCAAUUUCGUUAACAUCGCCAGAACGUGUUGUGCUAAGGCUUCGCAAUGAACGUGAAGAAAACAAGUACUUGAAAGUUGAGAACAUGUUAUUAAAACAUGAAAUUAAAUUGCUACAAGAGGAAAUAUCUUCUUCUUCGGUCCAUGUUAGUUUAGAGCUAGGUUCAGAUUUAAAAACCAUUAUGUCAAACACCAACACAUCGACAAUUUCUCCAUUUAUGAAAUUCUUCUGGGAGGAGCAACAAAAGUAUUUGUCGUCUACAAAAACUGGUGUCCGUUACCACCCAAUGGUAAUUAGAUAUUGUUUGUCAUUGGCAGCAAAGUCAUCAGCUACUCAUGAUAAUAUCCGUUAUGAUGAAAAAUCUGCUACUGGUUUGUGAUUCUACCUAAUCGACGUAGAUUGAGGGAUUAUAAGAACUACACCCAACGAGGAUUCAAUAAAAGUAUAGUUGAAGAAUUAAAACUUAAAGUUGAGCAUUUCAGUGACAUUGAAAAGUUUGUUGUCCUUUUAUUCAACAAAAUGAAAAUCCAAGAAAAUUUAGUCUGGGAUAGACAUACAGGCGAACUAAUUGGAUUUGUCGAUCUCGGAGACAUAAAUAUAAACUAUGCAACAUUACAAAAACCAGAUAAGUUCAGAGUAUCGUAAACCCUUUUAAGUUCAGUCUGGCUAAUUUUGCAACAACUGGAGCUACAGCAAGUCAAAUGUUUCCUUUGUUUUGGAAAGUAGUUGGCAUAUGUAAACUACAAUGCAAUCUAAAAGUAGUUGCCGCAACAUGUGAUGGAGCACACCAAACAGGAAGCUUUUUCGUAUGCAUUUCAACUUAACAAAAGCUGACGAUAUAAAUCCAGAUGUUGAUGUUACAUAUCGCACAGUAAAUUAUUUUAGUGCUGAAAAAUGAUACAUCUACUUUCUCUCUGAUCCUCAUUUGGAAUCGCAUAGCCGAUAUAUUUUACGAGGAUCGUGAAUGUGGAUUACACCUUCUACCUAAAUUAUCACAUGACCACAUUAAAUUUUUGUAGGUGGGUAGCUAUAAAAAUAGCUGUUUUGUUAGUGGUUGCAGUACUAUCAAUGACUUUGAUCCAGAGUGGAUGAUUUCUUCUUUAAUUCUGUGCGUAGAGAUUUUGAUCUCUUUGUAUGGGCCGAUAUUUUGUGAAGCUGCAUUUCAUCUUUGACCAAAAGAAAAUGUUCUCACUCUGACAUAUAGCAUGAGUAGGUCUUCUAGAAGAUUUAAAGAAACUUCUUUUUUCACAGAGGUUAACUAUUUUCGUAAAAUUUGACUUCACAUUAAAAAUUUUCUUAAGAAAGGAAACUAUUUCCUUGCUAUUAAUUUUACUGCACCCUUUAUUGGUAUAUGAACGAAAAUAUUCCUCGGCAGCUGUAAAAAUUAAAAUGACCUCUUUUCUGACUUUCCAUAGACUGUCACGAUCCCUAGCAUUAACCAAUUUGUACUCUGGUAUAUCUUCUGUGUCAUCAGAUUUCCCAGCCAGAAGAACCGCCAAAUACUGUUGAUGAUAUAUUUGUUGACAUAUGUUUUUUGAUGAGAAACGUAUUCGCCGAUACAUAGUACUAAAGAUGUAUCCACUAAGAUAGGAUAUGAUGAACGUUUCCUUAUCUGAAAAGGUGUGUGGUUUAUUUGGAACUUGAAAACAUCAUCCUUGAAGUCAGACUUAGACAAGUGACACAAUACUUGAUUUGCUAACUCAAAUCCUAAAAGAACAGUACAGUUGUGGCUUAGACUUGCUCCAAAGGGGUGUUCCAUGUCCGAAAUAUUUUUAUAGAAUAAUGGAUAAAACUUUUCAGCAUCUCCAUCAAAAGGUUUGAUAACAUUUUUCACCAGACUGUUUUGAAGUAUAACUAACAACAGUUGUCUAUGAAAUUCCUUUUAAAGAAAGAAAAAGACUCCAAACUGCAGCUAGCUAGCUAAUUUUACGUAGAAGUUUGCUAGAGGCUAAAUGCUGACAUUAGUUAUUUGUGCGCACAUUAAAACAAAACGUGUUUUACCAUAUCGUGGAGAAAUUACAAAGUGCGACAAAAUUGGAUUACAGAGUGCGAUGGGAUUACAAAGUGAUACGCUACAAUACACACUGUACGUAUAUAUAAUACUUAAAGGAGAGGCGAACAAAAUAUUGCUUUGUUAAACCAGAAAAUAAAUUUUAAGCGAGAGAGAAAAUAUUAUAGGCUUCUGAAUCCUAAUAUCUACUAAGAUAACUACUAUAAAAACAAAUAAAUAACUAUAUUUCACAACUAAGUAUCUUUCUAACAUCAUUUUUUACAGAAUUUUCAUGGUUGUAUGGGGUAAACAUAAGUAGGUUUAAGAUGUACUUACCAGUAAGCAUCAAAAAUACCUUAAGGCAACAAAUUUUGGCGGAAAGAAAUUUUGGCGGAUUUGGCGGAUCGUGCGAAAAUCCGCCAAAGUUAAUUCCCGCCAAAUUCUUUUUUUUAAGCAUCCGCCAAAAUAAAUUCCCGUCAAAAUUAUUUCUUUUAAGCAUCCGCCAAAAUUAAUUCCCGCCAAAUUAUAUUUUUUUCUGCAUCCGCUAAAAUUGGCGGAUUGGGUCGUCUGCCAAAAUUUCUUCCCGCCAAAAUUUGUUUCCUUAAGGUAAGAUCUUUGACUUAAAAUAACCAAGAAUAUUUUACAUGCAAUAGCAGUUACAGCAUUUUAUAACCUUUGUUUAAAUUUAUUUGAAUUAAGAAAUAUCUGGCUUGACCAACAACAAUAUUUUCUUACAUGUUUUCAGUCUUUUUUUAUGAUGAGGUGGCGCCAAAUUUAAUAAAUAUACAGACCGGAAACAUUCAACAACAAAUCUAACGCGCAAUAUGGAGGCUUCAUCUUUAUUAAAGAAUCUUUAUUUUCUUUAUUUUUCUUACACACAAAUUUGUUCAGUAAGUUCAUUGUACAAAAUAAUAAAAAUAUGUUCGUUACAUGUUCAACAUUUUUGCUAUUUUGAUCUUCAACAUUUUCCUUGUUUGAUUAUUUUGUACGUAUUACCCCGUGGCCAUCACAUCCCAUUGUUUUUUGAUUUAGCCACCCGUUUGGCAAGUGUGUAAAAAUACGGAAUUAUAAAUACUUCAGCACUCACAAAGAUGUAAACAAAACUGGUAUUUUUAAAGACAAUUAAUUCUGAUAUAUGUAACAACCAAAUCUCGGUAUAGGUUACGGGAAAUAGCAAAGCAUGGUUUUCCUUUGUUACGUGGUGUCAUUCGUAAAGAGUGAGCCAAUGACAUAAAUUUUUAGGAUUUACGUACAGGGCACUUUGGUUACACUCAUAAGCGCAAGAAAUGAACACAUAAAGUUUGGUACUUAUUACAAAAAUACCAAUGUGUUUGUUUACAAAAGAGAACAACCUCGAUGUUGUUUGAUGUUGU